UAGCAACGGUAGCGCGGCAGCUCCGGGUCACCCCUCUCUCCUGCCUUCCUUCCCACUUCCAACUACCCAUCCCCGCCAUCUAUGCUGGGGGCUUCUUAAGACCUCCCCAUCUCCUCUCCUGCCGCGUAGCCCAAGAGAGCAGCCUACCUGCCAGGGGGAUGGCAUCCACAUCUACCAGGAACGAGGAGAAAAAGGGCGGCCGGUCACCCCAAGCUGCAGCCUCCUUGGGUGGAUGUUCGAAGGUUUCGUUAUCCCGUUCGGAGGAAUUCCUGGCCCGGAUCAGCACAGAACUCACCAAUGAAGCCCUGUUUAUCGCUGGCUACCACAUGAACUCUAUGCCCAAAAAGGACAAACAGACAGAAGACCGAGGGACUCAGAUAUCCAGACACGGUGACCCCCCACUUCAGGACCACUGUAUCCAGAGACCCACCCAUACUCGUAGUUCUAGACUCGGACCCCUGUAAACACAGUCGCCUCUUCAGGACUCUGUGCUCAUCUCCCCCAUCUCACAGUCAACCCCAGGAUCCACACAGUGCCCACUAACCCAGCAUCCACUUCUCAUUGCUGCCCAGGAGCCCCUCGGUCCCUGUGCUCCCUCCCUAGCCACAUCUCUGUCUGUGGGGACAGUCAUUUCUCCGAUCAGGGCUCUACUUCCAGUGUUCUUCAUCAAGAAUCAAGGCACUGACACCUGCUCCAAUGGAAACUGCACCCGCACCAAGACUUAACUUCCUGCCAUCCCCUGGGACAAGGGAGCGCUGUCUGACAGCUUGGCGUCCGGAAGAUGAUCCCACCCCUGCUGGGUGCUGCUCUUGGCCUCAUGUUCUCCCCUGUCCUGUGCCUCUGAACAUGCCUUCAAGUUCCUUUUCCACAAUUCAGUAAACACUUCGGUGUGGAGAAAACUUGCGAACAUCAUCUCUGGAGCCUCCAAAGUGUUCUGGACCAUCGUGUACCUCUCCGCCCUCAGCUGGCCAGGAAACAAAGGCUUUAAUAAAGAGAGACCUUCC